GGGAGGAGCCUUUCGUCGCCCUAUAUAACUCAAAGGCGCAAAUUCAUUCUUCCAUUUCUUUCUGACUUCUGCUCGAGAUCAUGGAAAACUUUAAAGGAGCACAUAAAAAGCUCAGAAGAAUUCUGGAUCAUUCUCAAGGUGGUCUUUGCUCACCAAUAUCUCUGCAAAUGAAACUUCACUUUAAAUGCGGAGGAUUUCCAUGACGCCGGCAUGAGUUACAGUUACGCAUCAUGAGGGUCAGAUCUGAAGUGCAGAAAUGAAGAAACUUCAACUGCUUCCAGCUCAGGCAGAUGUGAGGCAGCAGAGGUCCUUUCCUGUUGAAGCUCCAUCGUGCUCUGACUGUGACUCCAGGUGGAGUUUCUCCAGCAUGAGACUGAAGCUGCUGAAGGAAUAAACGACUGCGUUUGCGUUGCCAGGUCAAUGAGCCUAUGUGGCGUUUUCGUCGGUCAGCUGACCGGUUAGGAUGACCGGAUACUCUAACGGGAGAGAGCUGCUCAGCCAACUCUGAAAGAUGACUGGAUGCCUUGGAAAAAUGAAGCCACUUUUUCUGUGUAAUUUCAAUAAAUGUUUUUGAAACUUGG